rnacentral:rRNA from 1 species
ACACGUAGGGGCCUGACGUUGUUCGGAAUCAUUGGGCGUAAAGGGCGCGCAGGCGGCCGUCCAAGUCCGGUGUUAAAUGGUCGGGCUCAACCCGAUCAUGCGCUGGAAACUGGGCGGCUUGAGUCCCGUAGGGGAUGCCGGAAUUCCAGGUGUAGGGGUGAAAUCUGUAGAUAUCUGGAAGAACACCGAUGGCGAAGGCAGGCAUCUGGCCGGAGACUGACGCUGAGGCGCGAAGGCGCGGGGAGCGAACAGGUUUAGAUGCCCUGGUAGUCCGCGCAGUAAACGAUGCGCACCAGGUGUCGGGCGGCAGCGCCCGGUACCGGAGCUAACGCGAUGAGUGCGCCGCCUGGGGAGUAUGCCCG